UGAAACUCUAAUUGUGGUCUAAAUGUAUACUUGAAACUUUAAUUUGGAUUUAAUCAUACACAUUUAAAGAAAUGAAUAUAUCAAUUUAUUUUUAUAUUGGAUAAAUAUAAUUAUUUAUGUAUGCAUUAUGCAAUAUCUAAACAUAAAAUGAUAUUAUAUCAAUAAUUAUACUAAUAAUUUACAAGAAUUAAAUUAAAUCAAAAUUGCAUGUAUAUAAU
rnacentral:lncRNA from 1 species